UGGGGGUCCGGCAACGGGGCACGCUGCCCCGGGCAAGGGGGACAGGGCAGCGGACGCCGGCCAAAGGGGACCAGGCAGGCUGCAACCCGUGGAGACCAAGAACGGCCACAAACCCCAUCCCGCAGCCCGGGCUGGCACAGGAACGGGACGGGAGCUGCGCAGGGAAAGCCACAGCGCCAGGCAGUGGAGUUUGGUGGGAAGGAGAGGGUCAGAGUGGGGGGGCUGCAGAAGCCUCCAGCCCCUCGGUGUAGUGGCGGUGGUGACAGAAGGGAUGGCUCUGCCCCGAGCCGCCCCCUCCCCAUGUCCCGACUCCCGUGGAGAACAGCGCUUGGAAUACUUUAAAAACAGGUAACACUUGUUGGUCGCCUGUGAUUUUAACCUCACCUCCCCCCUUUAAAAGUUUGGCACUUCCAAGGCGUCAGUAAUUAGGUGGUUUCGUGCUAAGUGUGCCAACUGAUGCUAUCUUUAAAACCCUCCGAGUUAUAUAGCAAAUGUAUGGAAAAA